GACUUAAAAUCCGUCGAACUUUAGAA
rnacentral:tRNA from 1 species